UACGAGGGGGGCAAAUGUUGUUCGGAAUCACUGGGCGUAAAGGGAGCGUAGGCGGGUUCUAAGUCAGGUGUUUAAUCCCGGGGCCCAACCCCGGACAGGCACUUGAAACUGGGAAUCUUGAAUAGUGGAGAGGUCAGUGGAAUUGGGGUGUAGCGGGUGGAAUGCGUAGAGAUCCCAAGACACCAGUUGCGAAGGCGGCUGACUGGACACAUAUGACGCUGAGG
rnacentral:rRNA from 1 species